CACAUACAAAGCAAAGCCAGAAUCAUCUGGCACAUAGCUCACAGGGACAGAUGGUGCCACCUGCAUUCUCGGGCAAGAAUAGUCCCAGCCAGGCUAUGGUGUGAGCACCAUAAAGUCUGGCUUGUUAAGAAAGGAUAUGGCAGAGCAGAAGGGAGAGGACUGCCUGAUCAUAGUGGCCUUCUCCUGAAGUGUGCACUCUGGGUAACAUGGUAUAGAUGCUAACUCCAAAGACAUGGUACAGGUGCUUCCACCACAUGUCUCUGGACAUCUCAAGUCCCUGUUGAGCAUGCACCAUCCCCGCUGCACCUUAUGGGAGACAUCCGUGAAGUGUGUUUGAAAAAAAAAAACUGCUAGCAAGAUCAUCAUGAGUACAUGUAAUUUCAGGAAUUAAAUGGACCAGGCAAGGCUAUGAAAGCACUUCAGUCCAGAUCCUCAUGUUACUGUCUGUGUACUUGGGUUGAUUACUCAAGAGUUUCAAUAAAAUCAUGUUCAAUACUAACGAGGUUGGCUGCUGAUGAUUAGGAGCAGAUCUGCCCAAGUGAACUUGUGCAACAUUUCUUUCAGAAAUGGUGAAGCAAAGCUGAUGCUACUAUUAUAAUCUCUGGAUAAGCACUCUUCCCCAUCCUGUUUGUAUUUUCAGACAAAGGAGGAGAGCACUGAUGAGGCUGAAGUGCCAGGUUGUGUGUCAUUUUUAAUAAUCUUUUAAAUAUUACAUUUAUGUCAUUAUACUUUUACAUAAGAUAUAAAAGGUAGAUUCUUUUAACAAAUUGCAGUAAAGAAUAACACCAGUCCUAACAGGAGAACUUGGGCAUGGGUAACUCCUGUUGACUGUGGGAAACAACAGAAAAGCCCAGUCAGUGUAAUGCUGUUAUUUCUGUAACUGUUUCAGUCUGAUUUCAGAAGGGCCACCCUGUGCAGGUAUUUCAGAGAACUAUCUUUUCUUCCAUUUGCAUUAUUCACAUGGGGAUGACAGCACUUGAAAAGGAGUAGAAAUCGGUUUUUUUGCAGUGAUUUUACUGGCAGCAAUGAACCAGUGAAAAGGGGAAGUCCCCCAGCAGAAGGGAUGAGCAUGACACUCCCUGCAAAAGCAACUUGUUUCCUGAUACAGAAGGCACAGGUUUCCACCAGUAUGUCAGAUAUCAAUCUUGCUGUACAGAAGUUCUGCCGUGUUUACUAUACAGUGUCACCGCUAAACUGUAACUGGACUGAACUACAAAGGAUGCAUCUUAAACUGGUUUGUAGGACAUAAUUUGUUCCCCCACUCUUACUGCUCAGGUGUCUCUAAAUACUGACUCAGUGUUGUACCACACUUCAAAUGUACAACUUCAGUUGUCUCUUGUAACUUGUUUAUAAACAUUAAACAGAAAACCAGUUCUAAAAAUGGUAGAGAUAACAUCUUAAUGAUGUUGGCGGCUGCUUACUCAGGUACAAAUGUCCCACUUUCCUCAAGUUAGAUCUCGGUGACCUUCAGAAAUGUUUUCAGAUGAUGGCUGAUGAAACACAAAAGAAUAGAGACAUACGUGCAUUUCCUGUGCAUUUCCCCUGCCUGUGCAGUUACAGAGAUAAAGGCCAGACCUGUGAGGGAGCAUGAGAGGUGCGGCCAAGGCAUGGUCUGCAGCAGCAGAACAGCCAUGACAUUUCUUUCUUCUGUCUUUAAAGUCUCCAAUAAAAAUGAAAAAAAAAAAAAAAAUCAACCUGCACGUUGGCAGGAAAACUUAACAGUGUUUCCUGGGUCACUGUUUUGGAAACAAGCAGAGGGUCUGGGAAC